GCUUUUUUCGUCUUACUUGGAGACGCUGGGCGUGAGUUGACUGGGAGGCAUGCAUCCGAAUUAGUUAGCAACUACUUUGAGGCUAAUAAAAGCGAAGGAGCUGACCAUGAGGUACCUAUCCCGGAAGCUCUGAUCAGCAUCAUCGGACAGACACAUAAGUUCUGUGUGAAAGUUACAGAUCACAACUUCUCAGGCAAUACACGAGCCGUAACUGUCACCAAGAUCCUCCCUCUAGACACACCACCACCUACGGAAGCCUCAGUUGGAAAUGACAUUGGUGCAACGUCCGAGGAAGCAAAGCAUUCUGGAAACGACGUCUGUGAACCCCCUACAAGCCGUGGAGAUCCUGCAGAUGAGGAUAGCAAGCGGACGUGUGGCAGUGCUGACCCAGGGACAGCUAAACGCCCAAGAUGUGGGAAUUAGAACUUGGGUUCAUUGGUGUUUAAGUCUACGCUUUACAGUUCAAGGAUCGUUUUUUUUUAAAAAAAUUUGCUGCAGUUUAAGUACUUUUUGGGUUUUUUUCAAAGACAAUGCAUUGUUUGUUUUCAUUUAAAGACUGUCUUUAAAUCAUUUGAGCUAUCUUUUUUAUAAUCUCUGUUGAUUCUUAUAGUC